rnacentral:rRNA from 1 species
GCAUGUGCCUACAACAUAGAUUUAAUGCACCAGAUCCCAUUAGAAAUUCAUAGUGAAGCGUGCUCGAGCUAGAGUAGUACUAGGAUGGGUGACCACCCAGGAAGUCCUAGUGUUUUACAUGUC